UUCCACUGCCUCCACUCCACCCUUCGAGCUUCCAGCUCUCUUCCAUUCCCACCUCGCAUUUACCUUCGGAACCGCUGCACACCCUCUCUCAGGAACCUGGCAUCUCACACCCACGCCUCGAAAGACCCGCACCGAAGCUUCAAGAGGAUCAGCGUGUGAAGAUCACUUUAUAAUGAUUUGAAAAAGGUUGCCAUGGCUACAGAAAUUGGAGGAGCAUCCUUAGAUGACACAAUACAACCAGCUGUGCGAUUCCUCAUGUCCCAUGAACUGGAAGUCCAGUUCAACCUUUUUGGCCAACAUGGGAAACAAGCUCUUGGACCUGCGUCUCUUUGAUGUUUUGCAUGGGGACUUAAAAGAAAUUAUCCAUCUACAGAAUCACACAAGCAUACAGCAAAGACUCUCGAAGUGGUUUACUGGAGCCCGAGUGGAAGUGGAAAUAGACUAGAGAGACUGCCAGUUCAAACUCAGGUUGGGGAGGUCUUUCAAGAUGGACAGUUUCAGUAAAGUAUGAGAGAUUUCAAAUUUAAGCAUGCAUAUGGCAUGUAGGUUAUUUUUAAAAAUGUUUAACAAAAAUGUAUUGUGAAAGAUCUAUAUAGGUGUGUAUAUUCACAUUGUGUGUAUCAAUGUGAAUAUACGUGUAUAAAGUUAUAUAGAUAGUAUUUAGA